GCUUAUUAGUGUGAAUGCUGUAGGCAUGUAUUUAUCAGAAGGAAUAGGGGAAAGUUUCUGUCCUUUUCAAAUUUUAGGGUUCACAUGAGUUUUUUUUUUUUUAACAUUUCAUGGAAUAUAUUACUGUAACCCAGCAUGCUAGUGGUAGCCUAUUUGCUAUCAUUAGUGUUUUAGCUUUUUAGCUAAUUUUGGCUUUUAUGUGGGUUUUUCACACUGCAUGGACUAUUUCUUACCUUUCUGCAAUUGGCUUCAAACGCUUUUGCCAUUUUCACCAAAAAGCAUUCAGCAUUGAGCAUUCACACUUGCAUUUUCAUAGGAAAUGCACACUUUCUAGUAUCUGUUUGUUUUUGUAAAUUCAAUGAAUUAAGUUUCAAGAUCUACAUUUUUAGUAUUUUUUUCUGGAUCAACAAAACUUACAAUAUGUCAUUUUCAUGUUUUUACACACUUCAAAAAACAUGUGUAUGUGGUUCUGCUUGCUUAGUUUUCAGAAGUUUCAUUCCCCUUGAUUUUUCCACAUUUUAUCAGGCUGCAAUCACAAAUUUAAAAAUAAAGUUGUGUGUAAUCCUUAAAUUCAAGGAGAUAGAUACAAGGUUUUCAGUUUUUUCCCCUCAUAAAAAUAUGAAAAUUGAUGUGUACAUUUGUAUUCAGGCCCCCUAUGUUAGUAUUGUGGAAACCACUUAACUCAAUUACCAGCUGCAAAUCUUUUGGAGUCUGUGUUUAUGGGCUCUGCUCAUAUAGAGAAUAAAACGGUUGUAUGUUAA